rnacentral:rRNA from 1 species
AGUGAACGCUGGCGGUAGGCCUAACACAUGCAAGUCGAACGGCAGCACAGUAAGAGCUUGCUCUUACGGGUGGCGAGUGGCGGACGGGUGAGGAAUACAUCGGAAUCUACUUUUUCGUGGGGGAUAACGUAGGGAAACUUACGCUAAUACCGCAUACGACCUACGGGUGAAAGCAGGGGAUCUUCGGACCUUGCGCGAUUGAAUGAGCCGAUGUCGGAUUAGCUAGUUGGCGGGGUAAAGGCCCACCAAGGCGACGAUCCGUAGCUGGGCUGAGAGGAUGAUCAGCCAAACUGGAACUGAGACACGGUCCAGACUCCUACGGGAGGCAGCAGUGGGGAAUAUUGGACAAUGGGCGCAAGCCUGAUCCAGCCAUACCGCGUGGGUGAAGAAGGCCUUCGGGUUGUAAAGCCCUUUUGUUGGGAAAGAAAAGCAGCAGGUUAAUACCCCGCUGUUCUGACGGUACCCAAAGAAUAAGCACCGGCUAACUUCGU